rnacentral:rRNA from 1 species
AAACCAACAGGGAUUGCCUUAGUAGCGGCGAGUGAAGCGGCAAAAGCUCAAAUUUGAAAUCUGGCUCUUUCAGAGUCCGAGUUGUAAUUUGAAGAAGGUAUCUUUGGGCCUGGCUCUUGUCUAUGUUUCUUGGAACAGAACGUCACAGAGGGUGAGAAUCCCGUGCGAUGAGAUGACCCAGGUCCGUGUAAAGUUCCUUCGACGAGUCGAGUUGUUUGGGAAUGCAGCUCUAAGUGGGUGGUAAAUUCCAUCUAAAGCUAAAUAUUGGCGAGAGACCGAUAGCGAACAAGUACAGUGAUGGAAAGAUGAAAAGAACUUUGAAAAGAGAGUGAAAAAGUACGUGAAAUUGUUGAAAGGGAAGGGCUUGAGAUCAGACUUGGCAUUUUGCAUGUUGCUUCUUCGGGGGCGGCCUCUGCGGUUUGUCGGGCCAGCAUCAGUUUGGGCGGUAGGACAAUCGCGCGGGAACGUGGCACGGCCUCGGUUGUGUGUUAUAGCCCGUGUGGAUACUGCCAGCCUAGACUGAGGACUGCGGUUUAUACCUAGGAUGUUGGCAUAAUGAUCUUAAGUCGC